rnacentral:rRNA from 1 species
CGGAAUUGCUGUAAUCGCGGAUCAGCAUGCCGCGGUGAAUACGUUCCCGGGCCUUGUACACACCGCCCGUCACACCAUGGGAGCCGGUAAUACCCGAAGUCAGGUAGUCCAACCUCGUGAGGACGCUGCCGAAGGUAGGAUUGGCGAACUGGGGUGAAGUCGUAACAAGGUAGC